AACGAACGCUGGCGGCAUGCCUAACACAUGCAAGUCGAACGAGACCUUCGGGCCUAGUGGCGCACGGGUGCGUAACGCGUGGGAACCUGCCCUUAGGUUCGCUAUAACUCCCUGAAAGGGGUGCUAAUACCGGAUAAUGUCUUCCGACCAAAGAUCUAUCGCCUUUGGAUGGGCGCGGGUUAGAUUAGCUAGUUGGUAGUGUAAAAGCCUAUCAAGGCGUCGAUCCCUGGCUGGUCUGUGAGGAUGACCAGCCACGCUGGGGAUAAGACACGGACCAGCAUCCUAGGGAAGGGAGGAGAGGAGAGUAUUGGACGAGGGACGAAGGCCUGAUAAAGCAGUGCGGGGUAAGAGAUGAAGGCGGUAGGGUAGUGAAGCUCUUUUACCCGGGGUGUUAGUGACGGUACCGGGAGAAUAAGCACCGGCUAACUCCGUG
rnacentral:rRNA from 1 species